AAUUUCAGUAAAUACUGUUUAUUUUUUAAAUUUUGCCAUAAUCUAUACAAUAAAUAUUAACCAAUGAUGGAUCUUUUCUUUACAGAAGGUUACCAAACCAGUUUGCAUUUGUUGACUUCGUUAGUGGAGGCUCCUCCAUAACGAGCUCGUUAAUUUUAGGCCACCUUGCGUGGCUUUGGUUGACACUCAGUGUGUGACAGCUAAUGUGAUGCUCCCUGAAAAGUAUAUCGCAGAGUCUCGCAGAAUUACGAGGAAGGCAACGGAGCUCCGCAGCCCUGCGUUUAACCUUUAUUUAUUUAUCCAUCAUAAAAUGUGGGGCUUCUCCAGUUCCAGACAAUAUCUGAAAACUAGAGUAACAAAGAUUAAGGGGACACACACAGCCUCUAUGCAGACACGCUGACAUACGGAGCUCAGCCCUCUAUGCAGACACACUGAAAUAUGAAGACACCCACAGGCCUCUAUGCAGACACGCUGACAUACGGAGCUCGGCCCUCUAUGCAGACACACUGAAAUAUGAAGACACCCACAGGCCUCUAUGCAGACACGCUGAAAUAUAGAAACACACACAGCUCUCCAUGCGGACAUGCUGAAAUACAGAGCACAGCCCUCUAUGCAGACACACUGAAAUAUAGUCAUUGGCAACUAAAAUACAGUGUGAACACAUCCAACAAAAUGGGCGCACAGGGAGUUAUGACAGGAACUUAUGACAGCAAACGGCACAUGGACCCACAGGUCUGAUGAUCUCUGGCCAUCCCAAAGGUUGGGCCACUCCCUACCAUAUGCACCUCUGCUGAAGCAAGUUGAGAACUGACUCGCCGGGAGGGAGUCGCUGGCCAACGUGAGGCCAGCCUUGUGCACAGAGCGCGCAUGGAAAUGGUGCGGGUUCGCCGUCUCGGGAGUUGGAUACGACUGCCAUCUUUUUAUAAAUGAGAAUUGCAGGAUCAUCGACCAUUGUGUACUCACACAUUUAAAGAUGUGUAAGUCUUAAAUAACCCUUUGGGAAUAUUAAGGAGCUGUCACAGGGGUUCUCAAUUUUGGAUGUGCAUAAAAACACUUCUGUAGUGAUUUUAAAUGAAAGUGCCUGGUCUCAACUAACACCUGCUGAACCAGAAUUGCCACGGUUUGGGUUUGAGAAUCUGUUUUUUUGUUUUUGCUUUUAUAAGUUUCAGAAGCAAAAGUGAGGGUCGCUGGUUUGCAGGUGAUUGAAGGGUUUGGCCACCUGUGGGCCAUGAUGUCAUUGUUGUUGGUGGUGGUAAUGGUGAGGUUGGGGCUGUGAUGUCGUUGUCAUUGGUGGUAGUGAUGGUGAGGUCGGGGCUGUGAUGUCAUUGUCAUUGGUGGUGGUGAUGGUGAGGUCAGGGGUCGGGGCUGUGAUGUCGUUGUCGGUGGUGGUGGUGAUGGUGAGGUCACUGUAGGAAAGCCCAGCAGAAUGGCCCUGAAGCGUGGGCUCCGUCCCCGAUAUGCCUUCCCAUGAUCUCUUUUCCUAAGGAAAAAUCCGAAUAAAUGAAGGGUGAAGGCAGCCUUGAAAAUGAAGCAAAUUAUAAAGGUAAACUAUAGGCGAAAACUUCAGGGGAGUCUAAACGUUUUAUCUCGAUGAUUAAUGGGUGCCUUGGGUAGCAUUCUCUACAUGUCUUAGGGCAUCAGGAAACAGAACUGCCCUAUUUUUUCUCAGAGAUUUAUUCAUUCAAUGAACAUAUAUUAAGUACCAAGUAUUUCCAGGUCUUAUUCCAGUGAUUGGAAUUCAAUAAUACACUUACUGACAAAUUCCCCUGUGUCUGUAGAACUUACAAUCUGAUGGGUAAUAAAACAGGUCAGUAACAAUAAAAAUUGCAAUAAAUAAGUGGAGUAGGAAUUAAAUGAUAAAAGGUACUAUGUAUGUAAGAAUAAGGGAUCCUGGACACAGUUGUGAGCAAGGCUGCGAGGCUAAGUGUGCAGUCAGGGUGGGCAUCCCUGUGGAGGUGACGUCUGAGCCUCCAUUACACUCAGAUGUGGACAUGAGCUGCCUCGGAAAGGAACAUUCCAGAGAAAGGCACAGCUAGGGUAAGGCUCUGACCUGUGUCCUGCAUGCUCAGUGAAGCUGUUUGGUUCAAGUGGAAUGAAAAUAAGGAGAAUAAAAUUUUUUUUAAGUAUCAGAAUUUGCUCAGAUGCCAUCUCUACAGGUCAUGACCCAGCUCUGGGAGAGCCUUGGCAAUCUGCUUUAACUAGGGAAAUGCUGCAGGGUUUGAGUAGAGAAGGGGUCUGGCCUGACACAGCAGAUAUCUGGCCAGUGUUGAGAAGGGAGUCUGCACAUUCG
rnacentral:lncRNA from 1 species